AACGAACGCUGGCGGCAUGCCUAACACAUGCAAGUCGAACGAGACCUUCGGGUCUAGUGGCGCACGGGUGCGUAACGCGUGGGAAUCUGCCCUUUGCUUCGGAAUAACAGUUAGAAAUGACUGCUAAUACCGGAUGAUGACGUAAGUCCAAAGAUUUAUCGCCCAGGGAUGAGCCCGCGUAGGAUUAGCUAGUUGGUGAGGUAAAGGCUCACCAAGGCGACGAUCCUUAGCUGGUCUGAGAGGAUGAUCAGCCACACUGGGACUGAGACACGGCCCAGACUCCUACGGGAGGCAGCAGUAGGGAAUAUUGGACAAUGGGCGAAAGCCUGAUCCAGCAAUGCCGCGUGAGUGAUGAAGGCCUUAGGGUUGUAAAGCUCUUUUACCCGGGAAGAUAAUGACUGUACCGGGAGAAUAAGCCCCGGCUAACUCCGUGCCAGCAGCCGCGGUAAAAC
rnacentral:rRNA from 1 species